rnacentral:rRNA from 1 species
CAUGGUUUAGCUAGUCUAACCAAGCAAAAAGAAAUUCAGUUUGACUUCCCGAAACUAAGUGAGCUACCUUAGGACAGCCUAAUGGGCAAACCCGUCUCUGUUGCAAAAGAGUGGGAAGAUCUUAAAGUAGAGGUGAUAUACCUAACGAACUUAGCAAUAGCUGGUUAUUUAAGAAAAGAAUCUUAGUUCAACCUAAAGCUUUAUCAAUACCCCAAAAUAAAAGUUAACUUUAGAGCUAUUCAAAUAAGUCACAGCUUAUUUGAAAUAGGGUACAACCUCAACCUGUGGGUAAUUAAUUACUGACCAAAAACAAGUAGGCCUAAAAGCAGCCACCUUUGAAAAAGCGUCAAAGCUUAACCUCCAACACUUCUUAUAUCCCUUAAACUAUUAAAAACCCCUCAACAGUACUAAAUAAUCCUAUACCCAUAUAGGACUCUUUAUGCUAAAACUAGUAACAAGAAUACCUUCUCUUAUAUGUAAGUGUAAAUCAGAAUAGAAAUACUACUGAUACCUAACAGCCUUAACUUGAAGUACCAAACUACAUAGAAAAAUCUACUCAUUUAGCUGUCAAUCUAACACAAGAACAUAAAAAGAAAGAUUAUAAGAAAAAGAAGGAACUCGGCAAACCUUGAUUCCGCCUGUUU